rnacentral:lncRNA from 1 species
UGAAAGCCUCGGAGCCAUGUUAGAAUAUUAAUAUAUCGAACUUGGCCUAUUUUUGGCUGUAAACUGCCUUGUCGAAUAUUAAAACCGAAUAAAAUCAGUAACAAGAAAUGAUAAAUGAUAUAUGGCAGGGCUACACCGAGACAUUUUAACGGUACACAGAAUGUAAAGAAUGAAGCUGUUAGCUUAUAGCUUGCUUAUGCAGGGCGAACUUAAAAUAUUCAGAAAAAUUUAUUGUUGUAGAUUUCGAUUACUUCAAGAAAUUAAAAUAGCUCUUUCCGUGAGAUGUGUUCAAUCUAAUGGUGUUAAUAGUGAUUAAUAUCAAGCCCCCAAGAUGGCGCAACCCGACGACGAUGUUGACCUGCAGCCCUUCUCAAACUCAUUGAUAAUUCAUCAACUUUGACAAAUCAUAACUGUAAUGGUGUUUGGACAUCGGAUUUGAAUUCGCAUAGAUUUUUACGAUUUUGAUUCUCCGUCUUUUCCCUAGUUGUAGUUUUGAUUAAGAAGGUAUAGCAAACACUCUAAACAGUGCUUCAACGCAAUUCCAUUCACUUCGACUUCUGCAAUUUCAUUUCUCUUCUUGGUGUUUAGAAAUGUGAUAGAACACGAUCUCUCGUGUUUGAUAGAUUACCUUGGAGGCUGAUGAAGUCUAUUCGAUUAGAAUAUCUCGUGAAAAUCGAAAUUAUGUGCAUCUGAGAAGGGGCGGUGAUUGUGUUGGCAAGAAAACAUCCCGCUGUAUAAUUUCCAACCGUGCAUCUACAAAAAGAUAAUGCACACUCAGCUCCAAAAGCGGGUAUACAGCUGCUGUAUUGUAAACGUAAAAGUCAGAUUGCCUUUAACAAAAUUUAAGAGCCACCUUGCUUUGAACCUACUUCGCCGCUUUAAUAUUCCUCCUUCCGACCCGUCAUGUGUACUAUAUAUCCGGUCCUUGAGUGCGCAAUUAGCAUUAAUUUCAAAUAGAAAGGUACAAAGCUUAUCAAUAAAUGGUAAACAGCGAACUCAUAAUGCUCUCCUUUGUAAUUGAUUUCCUUUGGAAACUUAUUUGCAUUUGACAAUGAAUCAUUUUUUGCACGACUCGAAUCAUUGUUGAGAUAUAGAUGAAAAGAUGGCACCAAUAUAUGUCAAACGGUACCAUACCAUGCACGGUUCUUCUCUUUCAGUCCUGAAUGAAUCUCCAUCUUCAAAAUUACUCCUACACUUUACGUUUCCCGUUUGGACAUUGUCGCGAGAAACCACUGACUUCCCAGAUAUAUUUUUGGAUUUACUGUUCUCAGGCUAACAAAGCUUAUGUAGCUUUAUGCGGCAGGGUUCUCUUCUCGCGUUCAUUGCCAAGCGUGUCCCCUAUUCUGAAACGUUCGUUCAGCUCCCACCGUGCGUUUGAUUACAUCGUUCAUGUGCCAGUGUCUUUAGAGAGGAUAAAGUUUACCAUGACACAUUAUUACCUUAGUAAAUGGACAACUCUGAUUUGUCAGCUGUACAAUGUGUAAUCACCUUACUCUGCGUGUAUGUCAUGUUAUUUACAGUUGUGAGUGAACAAAUCCAUCAACCAAAGGAAAACAAAUGCCCUUUAUUACACCUGAUGCAUUUCGAUAAGGAAUAAUAAAUUUAGCAAAGACACCAUUCCAAAUAUAUUUCAUUUUGAACAUUUUUGGUGUUUUAUAUUAUUACACAAUAUUAUUUCAGCAAUUAAUACCUUUCCAAUUUUCACAAGAACAGGGCCACAGUACCAUGUUUGCAACAUGUUGAAUAAACAGAGUCGAGCCGAUCAACACUUGAAGUUACAUUAGCCACCUUAUAUUUGACAUAGGCUGCUUUUUUGAACCCAUCCUUUCCCUCUUUCAGUUCACAAUUUUCCCUCUAUGCAUUACAUUAUCUUAAAGCAUUACAAAUUAAAGACAUUGCUCCUUUAGUGUUACAUGUACUUCCAAAUCAGUUGUUUGACCCCGUUGCGAAUAUCAUUCAUCCUCCAAAUAUAAAUAAGAGGAUUUAGCGAAGAAGACAAAAAUACAGACGUCAACGACAUAACAUAAGCCAGUUCUACCACAGAGUGAUCCCUGAGAGAGCGAUAGAUCCCGAAAAAGACAAUAAAAGGAGCGUAACUAAUGUAAAAUAAUAGCACAAUAUACAGAAUAGAAAAUACAGACUUCUUGUAUUUUGCCAAGUUUAUCGCCGGUUGACCUGAAAUCUGACGCGUUUCUCUGGCUUGCACUUGUUGUUGGUGACAUCGAAUAAUUCGGAAAACCUUAAAAUACGAUGACGAUAUGGCAAUGAGACAAAGCCAUAAAAAGGCGAAGGAAACUGUCAAAACAUGUUCAUAGCUACCCGUUAAGUUAUUUAACGUGCGAAACACAGAGAAUGGGAUCGGAGCGAGAAAUAUCCCAGCGACAAUAAAACGCGCUCGACGCUGGGUAAACAAGAAUCUCCGCGACAUCUGCAACCAUCUUUCAAUCGACAUGCAUGUGAGAAUCAGGACCGUCUCGUAUAUCAAGUAACUUCCAAAGCCACCAGUAAUUACUCUCGCUAAAAAGAGAAACGUCUGACGGCCCUCGAUUUCCUGGGGUCCCUCCGAACAAAUAAACUGGGAUGAAACAUAAAAUGGCUGAGUGAUAAGUCCUGUGGAUAGGUCGGUUAAAGCUAAUCCACCAAGGAACAUGUAGAAGGGAGUUCGCAAGGUCCGAUUCCUCCAAAUUACUGCCAAAAUUAAAACAUUUCCUGUCACUGCAAUCGGCGAGAGAACAGCGAUAACUAUUGAAAGUAGUAAAAUCGCUUCGUCAUAAGCAGAAUUUUGUUUCCUGUCCGUCACGCCAUCAAAGCUACAAAGGAUAGAGACGUUGGUGGUAAUUGCCAUCAGUGAUCACUGCAACCUUGCUCUUUGGUAACUUGAUGGAUAACAUGUAAAUGGAACUGCUCGAAGUGCUAACCUACGACAAAGAUGCCACGUAUCCUGCUAGACAUGUGUACUAUAAAUAAUUUCCAAAA